rnacentral:misc_RNA from 1 species
UAAAAGCAAAAAACACCACUCCCCAUAAUAAAUUAAGGGACCAGCUCUGAUUUAUGAAGGUGUUUGCAUUUUUUUCCAUUCAAACUCAGAAGAUACAAUGCAAGAAAUGAAAGGCUUAAUGCUUGUAGAAAAGCCAAAUCUUUUCACCUUUUCUCAAGUUCAUCCACAAAUUUAAUUUUGGCUAUUUUAUCCCUGUUGCCAAACUUAGUGUCAAUUCUAUCCAAGUUUUUCCAAUUGAACAUUUGACUCCAUUUUAAAACUUGUACGCUUCAUUCAGGCAUUUUAACUAUCUGAGAGAGGUGAAAGGUUGUAAUGAACUAUU